rnacentral:rRNA from 1 species
AUUGAACGCUGGCGGCAGGCCUAACACAUGCAAGUCGAGCGGCAGCGGAAAGUAGCUUGCUACUUUGCCGGCGAGCGGCGGACGGGUGAGUAAUGUCUGGGAAACUGCCUGAUGGAGGGGGAUAACUACUGGAAACGGUAGCUAAUACCGCAUGACCUCGAAAGAGCAAAGUGGGGGACCUUCGGACCUCACGCCAUCGGAUGUGCCCAGAUGGGAUUAGCUAGUAGGUGAGGUAAUGGCUCACCUAGGCGACGAUCCCUAGCUGGUCUGAGAGGAUGACCAGCCACACUGGAACUGAGACACGGUCCAGACUCCUACGGGAGGCAGCAGUGGGGAAUAUUGCACAAUGGGCGCAAGCCUGAUGCAGCCAUGCCGCGUGUGUGAAGAAGGCCUUAGGGUUGUAAAGCACUUUCAGCGAGGAGGAAGGCAUCACACUUAAUACGUGUGGUGAUUGACGUUACUCGCAGAAGAAGCACCGGCUAACUCCGUGCCAGCAGCCGCGGUAAUACGGAGGGUGCAAGCGUUAAUCGGAAUUACUGGGCGUAAAGCGCACGCAGGCGGUUUGUUAAGUCAGAUGUGAAAUCCCCGCGCUUAACGUGGGAACUGCAUUUGAAACUGGCAAGCUAGAGUCUUGUAGAGGGGGGUAGAAUUCCAGGUGUAGCGGUGAAAUGCGUAGAGAUCUGGAGGAAUACCGGUGGCGAAGGCGGCCCCCUGGACAAAGACUGACGCUCAGGUGCGAAAGCGUGGGGAGCAAACAGG